rnacentral:rRNA from 1 species
GACGAACGCUGGCGGCGUGCCUAAUACAUGCAAGUAGAACGCACAGUUUAUACCGUAGCUUGCUACACCAUAGACUGUGAGUUGCGAACGGGUGAGUAACGCGUAGGUAACCUGCCUGGUAGCGGGAGAUAACUAUUGGAAACGAUAGCUAGUACCGCAUGCUAUUUAUUAUUGCAUGGUAAUUUAUUGAAAGAUGCUAUUGCAUCACUACCAGUUGGACCUGCGUUGUAUUAGCUAGUAGGUGAGGUAACGGCUCACCUAGGCGACGAUACAUAGCCGAACGGAGAUGGUGAGUGGCCGCACUGGGACGGAGACAGGGCACAGAGGCCUAGAGGAGGCAGCAGUAGGGAAACGUCAGCAAGAGAUGGAAGAUAGACCGAGAAACGCGGAGGGAGGGAAGAAGGUUGUCGGAUCGGAAAGCUCGGUUGUAAGAGAAGAACGGGUGUGAGAGUGGAAAGUUCACAGUGUGACGGUAACUGAUCAGAAAGCGACGGCUAACUACGUG